rnacentral:rRNA from 1 species
UACGUAGGGUGCAAGCGUUGUCCGGAAUUAUUGGGCGUAAAGAGCUCGUAGGCGGUUUGUCGCGUCUGCUGUGAAAACGCGAGGCUCAACCUCGCGCCUGCAGUGGGUACGGGCAGACUAGAGUGCGGUAGGGGAGAUUGGAAUUCCUGGUGUAGCGGUGAAAUGCGCAGAUAUCAGGAGGAACACCGAUGGCGAAGGCAGGUCUCUGGGCCACUACUGACGCUGAGAAGCGAAAGCGUGGGGAGCAAACAGG